AUUAAACGUUCUGUGGCGGAGCAGACCAAACAAGUCCUUAAUUAUAACCCUUUAAAUGACAAUUUAAGUUCACACAAAACUGCUAUGUAAAGGAGGAUAGACUGUUGGCUUAAAUAGGCCAGCAUCCUACUUUGUGGCAGGAGAUCAUGUUGGGCCGAGUCAUAUUCGAAAUGACGUGAGCCUGGGUGGGACGAGUCAUGUUCGAAGUGACGUGAGGUUGGUUGGACUGAGUCACAAUCAAAAUCCGUGGACGCUGUAUCUGUUCGUUUUAAGUGAAUUAGUUGCGUAUUUCUAACAGCUUGAGUUUUUAGGAAUAAUGGUUAGCGCCAACGAUCUGACAUAGACAAAGGUUAAUACGUUAAGCAGCUCUCAAAUUUUCUUCUUAUUUUUCGUUUUCAAAGACAUUAUAUUCA
rnacentral:lncRNA from 1 species